rnacentral:tRNA from 1 species
GCCUGGGUGGCUCAGUCGGCUGAGCGCCCGACUUCAGCUCAGGUCGCGAUCUCGCGGUUUGUGAGUUCGAGUCCCACAUUGGGCU